CACCAGACUCCUACGGGAGGCAGCAGUGGGGAAUAUUGGGCAAUGGGCGCAAGCCUGACCCAGCAACGCCGCGUGAAGGAAGAAGGCUUUCGGGUUGUAAACUUCUUUUCUCAGGGACGAAGAAAGUGACGGUACCUGGGGAAUAAGCCACGGCUAACUACGUGCCAGCAGCCGCGGUAAUACGUAGGUGGCAAGCGUUGUCCGGAUUUACUGGGUGUAAAGGGCGUGCAGCCGGAGAGACAAGUCAGAUGUGAAAUCCACGGGCUCAACCCGUGAACUGCAUUUGAAACUGUUUCCCUUGAGUGUCGGAGAGGCAGGCGGAAUUCCUAGUGUAGCGGUGAAAUGCGUAGAUAUUAGGAGGAACACCAGUGGCGAAGGCGGCCUGCUGGACGACAACUGACGGUGAGGCGCGAAAGCGUGGGGAGCAAACAGGAUUAGAUACCCCGGUAA
rnacentral:rRNA from 1 species